CACGAGGUUCCUGCCCAAGCUUCCGGAGGGGCCUACAGCCUGGACUUAUACCUCAACCGUUGCCUAUGGGGAACAGCCUUGGCUCCCCUCGUAACGGGUUCGCCCGCCGACAGAGGACCACUAACUCCUGUUGCAUUAUACAUGUUACUUUCCUGAGUAACAAGCAAAUAAAUUAUUA
rnacentral:misc_RNA from 1 species